rnacentral:tRNA from 1 species
UGCGGGAUGGUGUAGUGGCAGCACGUGUGACUCUGGAUCACAAAGUCUAGGUUCGACCCCUAGUCCCGCAGCCA